UCUUCUUUUCCCUAAAUUUUUCCUGGAUUCGUUCUUUUGAACUCUCAGUCCACCGAAACCCCCUAAUUUUUUCUUGAGUCGCUUUCUUGGUGUUCGACUUAGCGGCCUUUUUCCCUUUUUUUACUUUUACUUUUUUGGAACAAUGUGUGUGACAUGUGUUAUUUUUGGUUUAAACAUGACGAUGAUUGUCGGGUCCUUCGUUAUUGAGAAAUAACCAUUAUACGUUUUGAUUUUUCAUUACUACUUCGACACUUCUUGAUGGGUGUG
rnacentral:lncRNA from 1 species